AUUGAACGCUGGCGGAAUGCUUUACACAUGCAAGUCGAACGGCAGCACGGACUUCGGUCUGGUGGCGAGUGGCGAACGGGUGAGUAAUGUACCGGAACGUGCCCAGUCGUGGGGGAUAACGUAGUGAAAAUUACGCUAAUACCGCAUACGAUCUAUGGAUGAAAGCGGGGGAUCGCAAGACCUCGCGCGAUUGGAGCGGCCGAUAACAGAUUAGGUAGUUGGUGGGGUAAAGGCCCACCAAGCCAACGAGCUGUAGCUGGUCUGAGAGGACGACCAGCCACACUGGAACUGAGACACGGUCCAGACUCCUACGGGAGGCAACAGUGGGGAAUUUUGGACAAUGGGGGCAACCCUGAUCCAGCCAUGCCGCGUGCGGGAAGAAGGCCUUCGGGUUGUAAACCGCUUUUGUCAGGGAAGAAAUCCUUUGAGCUAAUACCUCGGGGGGAUGACGGUACCUGAAGAAUAAGCACCGGCUAACUACGUGCCAGCCGCCGCCGUAA
rnacentral:rRNA from 1 species